rnacentral:rRNA from 1 species
AAUAAGCAAGGGUAAAUUCCGUGCCAGCAGCCGCGGUAACACGGGGGUUGCAAGCGUUGUCCGGAAUUACUAGGCGUAAAGGGCAGGUAGGCGGAUCUACGAGUUUUUUGUUAAAGGCUACGGCUCAACUGUAGUAGAGCAGGAGAUACUGUAGGUCUGGAAUGCGGUAGGGGAAGACAGAAUUCCUGGUGUAGCGGUGGAAUGCGCAGAGAUCAGGAGGAAUACCGAAGGCGAAGGCAGUCUUCUAGGCCGUAGUUGACGCUUAACUGCGAAGGUGUGGGGAUCAAACAGGAUUAGAUACCCUGGUAGUCCACACAGUAAACGAUAAUCACUAGAUGUCGGGUUCUAGAUGGAUUCGGUGUUGGAGCCAACGCGAUAAGUGAUUCGCCUGGGGAGUACGAUCGCAAGGUUGAAACUCAAAGGAAUUGACGGGGGCCCGCACAAGCGGUGGAGCAUGUGGUUUAAUUCGAGGCAACGCGAAGAACCUUACCCGGUUUUGACAUCCACGGGAGGCUUCAGAGAUGGAGCUGUGCCGGCGUAAGCUGGAGCCGUGAGACAGGUGCUGCAUGGCUGUCGUCAGCUCGUGUCGUGAGAUGUUGGGUUAAGUCCCGCAACGAGCGCAACCCUUGCCUUCAGUUACCAUCAUUAAGUUGGGGACUCUGGAGGGACCGCUGCGGUAACAACGCAGAGGAAGAUGGGGACGACGUCAAGUCAUCAUGGUCCUUAUGGCCGGGGCUACACACGUGCUACAAUGGCAGUUACAGAGGGAUGCGAUUCAGUAAUGAGGAGCGAAACUCAGAAAAGCUGCCGCAGUUCGGAUUGAGGUCUGCAACUCGGCCUCAUGAAGUCGGAAUCGCUAGUAAUCGCGCAACAUCAUGGCGCGGUGAAUACGUUCCCGGGCCUUGUACACACCGCCCGUCAAGCCAUGGGAGUUGGUAACACCCGAAGUC